rnacentral:rRNA from 1 species
AAAGCGCACGUAGGCGGCUUUGUAAGUAAGAGGUGAAAGCCCAGAGCUCAACUCUGGAAUUGCCUUUUAGACUGCAUCGCUUGAAUCAUGGAGAGGUCAGUGGAAUUCCGAGUGUAGAGGUGAAAUUCGUAGAUAUUCGGAAGAACACCAGUGGCGAAGGCGGCUGACUGGACAUGUAUUGACGCUGAGGUGCGAAAGCGUGGGGAGCAAACAGGAUUAGAUACCCCUGU